CUUUUUUUUUUUUUUUUUUUUUUUUAAGGGUCGCACUUGCGGCAUGUGGAGGUUCCCAGGCUAGGAGUUGAAUCUGAGCUACAGCUGCUGGCCUAUACCACAGGAUCCGAGCUGCAUCUGCGACCUAUACCACAGCUCAUGACAAUGCCAGAUCCUUAACCCACUGGAGUGAGGUCAGGGAAUGAACCCGCAACCAUAUGUUACCUGGUCAGAUUCGUUUCCGCUGCACUGCAAUGGGAACUCCUUGAUGUGAUUUUAAAUGGAAUUGUAAAUGGAAUUGUUUUCUUAAGUUCAUUUCAGAUUGCUUAUUGCAAGUGCACAGAAGUACAGUUAAUUUUUUAAAAUACUUACCUUGUAUCUUGCAACCUUGCAGAACUUGUUAUUUCUAUAGUUUUUUAGUAGAAUCCUUAGGAUAUUUCCUCAGUAUUUUUUAUUGCACAGUAUAUACCACAUAACAAUAGUAGUUGAUCCAAAUUUCAUUAGCAGAACUUUUUUGGGGAAUUGCUUAAUAACAUUCCUGCAGUUCACAUAUAUGGAUCUCUCAGCAGGAUUUUGACAGUUAAAACUAGCCAUUUUGAAACUCUCCCUCCUUGCCAUCUGUGUCUUUAUCCACCACUUGGCUUCCUCUGCCCGCACCCCUCCUUUAAAAAUUUUUUUUAUUUAGGGCUCCAGGUGCGGCAUAUGGAAGUUCCCAGGCUAGGGGUCGAAUUGGAGCUGUAGCCACUGGCCUACACCACAGCUCACAGCAACUCCGGAUCCUUAACCCACUGAGCAAGGCCAGGGAUUGAACCUGCAACCUCAUGGUUCUUAGUCAGAUUCGUUAACCACUGAGCCACGACGGGAACUCCAUGAAUUUUUUUUAUUGUGGUAGAAUAUAUAUAUGUAAAAUUUAAAUUACCAUUUUAAAGUAUACAGUUUAGGGGCAGUAAGUGCAUUCAUUAUUUUGAGUAACUGUCAUCACUGUUUUGUGUCCCCAAAAAAAAACUGCUUUUUACAGCCACAGCAACACCAGAUCUGAGCCAUGUCUGUGACCUACACCACAGCUCAUGGCAACACCAGAUCCCUAAGCCAGUGAGCAAGGCCAGGGAUCAAACCCAAAUCCUUGUGGAUACUAGUCAGAUUUGUUUCCACUGCACCACAAUGGAACUCCUUUUCUUCCUUUUCAAGAUUGUUUUGGUUUUUAGGACUCCUUACAAUUACACAUGAAUUUUAGGAUCACCUUUUCUAUUUCUGCAAAAAAAAAAAA
rnacentral:lncRNA from 1 species